rnacentral:rRNA from 1 species
UACGGGGGGGGCAAGCGUUGUUCGGAAUUACUGGGCGUAAAGAGCGCGCAGGCGGUCGUAUAAGUCGAAUGUGAAAGCCCCUGGCUCAACUAGGGAGAGUCAUUCGAUACUGUUCGACUCGAAGGCAGGAGAGGGAAGUGGAAUUCCGGGUGUAGUGGUGAAAUGCGUAGAUAUCCGGAGGAACACCAGUGGCGAAGGCGACUUUCUGGCCUGUUCUUGACGCUGAGGCGCGAAAGCUAGGGGAGCAAACGGG